rfam:Canis lupus familiaris chromosome 5, whole genome shotgun sequence.
ACGUGGCUGGCUCAGUUGGAAGAGCAUGCGACUCUUGAUCGCAGGGUCAUGAGUUCAAGCCCCAUGCUGGGUG